CAAUAAAUUAAAUAAUUUUUAUAUAUUCAGUUUUUAUUAUUAUUAUUAUUUUAUAAAGAUACAAUUAUUACUAACACCACAAAUAUAAGUCAACAAAGAUUAUUGACAUAUACAUCAUUAAACACAUAAAUAACAAAAAUAUUCAUCAUUCUUUUUUGUGUUUGAAAUUGACUUGGGGUAAAAAUUAGAAAAAGUGGCUGGAAAGUUGACUGAACCACGUGUCGAGAAUGUGUAUCACGCGCGGGAUAAUUGGGUUGUUGGAUUGUGGAGCGCGUGUUUCUCAUGCGACAAUAUUAACACCUGCAAAACAAUAGAAACCGUGAUUGAAGAAAAAAAAAACUGAUCUAACCCUAUACUCCUCCUUCGCUAAGACUUUCCAGCCAAUGAUUUGGGUAUGAGCGGGGGCUUGUCCAGAAACGAAACCCACGACGGUUGAGGGAUGUUGUGUUGGGUCUGUUUUUUGGGUUUUGUUGAUGUUGAAUCUGGAGGAUAGAUCGGGGAAGAUGUGAGGGCUGCUGGUUCGGCUCACUGUAUAAGACUACUGGGUCAUCGGUUGGAGGAGAUGAGUGAUGGUUGAUUUUUUUUACAGUGUCUCACUACUUUGGGUUGUUGGAGGAGGCAAUAAGGGUGGUUGUUGAAGAUGGUGGCUCAAAGCUGCUGUGAGAGGCGGAGACACUGUAAUUGGGAGAUGGUGGCAGAUUCGGGCUAAAAAGGAGACUGGAUUAGGUUAUUGGUGGGGGGGUUGAAGGAUGGUUGGUUUACUGGAAGUGGCUAUAAAGAUGGUCGGGGAACUGGAUUUUUCCAUUGUUCUUUCUCUGGUUCUGUAUGCCCUGUGCUAGUCUCCUUUUUCUUUUUAAUCGCCCCUUUGGAAUCAGAGGCAGCGGAAGUUUUGGAAUUUGGAUGCUGGAAAUUUGGGAUUUUGAUUUCGAUUGCUGGAAUUUGGGAGCUAAAAAUAUGGGAUUGAGGAGCUGAAAACAUGCUUUGGUUUUAUUGUUGAGACUGCUUGAUUGAAAGAUCUGAAAUUAAUUGCUGGAUUGCUUGAUUUGAAUGGAUUCUAGACUAAAUUGAAUUAAUUUGGAUAAAAUCAAUGUACUGGAUUGGGCUGAAUUGAGUUAAUUGAAAACAAUUGGACUGGAAUGGAAUUAAUUGGACUGGUUGAUUGGAAGAAAAACAACUAGGACUAAAAUGAAGUUAUAUAAAUAGUCAAUUGGUCAUUGGAAUAUUUCUCCCUUCCUUGGCUUUUGAUUUUUUCCAAUUUAAUUCAAUUA
rnacentral:lncRNA from 1 species